rnacentral:snRNA from 1 species
UCAAAGUGAAGAAAUUCAA